rnacentral:rRNA from 1 species
CUCAGGAUGAACGCUAGCUACAGGCUUAACACAUGCAAGUCGAGGGGAAACGAUAUUGGAAGCUUGCUUCCGAUAGGCGUCGACCGGCGCACGGGUGAGUAACGCGUAUCCAACCUGCCCAUCACUUGGGAAUAACCUUGCGAAAGUAAGACUAAUGCCCAAUGACAUUUAUAGAAGGCAUCUGAAAUGAAUUAAAGAUUUAUCGGUGAUGGAUGGGGAUGCGUCUGAUUAGCUUGUUGGCGGAGUAACGGCCCACCAAGGCGACGAUCAGUAGGGGUUCUGAGAGGAAGGUCCCCCACAUUGGAACUGAGACACGGUCCAAACUCCUACGGGAGGCAGCAGUGAGGAAUAUUGGUCAAUGGGCGAGAGCCUGAACCAGCCAAGUAGCGUGCAGGAAGACGGCCCUAUGGGUUGUAAACUGCUUUUAUAGGGGAAUAAAGUGAGCCACGUGUGGUUUUUUGCAUGUACCCUAUGAAUAAGGACCGGCUAAUUCCGUG